CCAUCUAUCACAGCCCACAUUGAAUAUACUCUAACGUCCCUCGACACUCAGCAGCUUUGUGGUCUGGUUCACCUCUGUUCAUCUUACUAAACUUCCAGAUAGCAAUAUGAUAAUUUUUCCAAAUCAAAUAGUCAUUUAUAAAAUCUCUUAAGUAUAGAAAAGAAACUGUUAGGCAAGAAUUUACAUCAGUAGGGGAUCAAUGAUUCAAAGAUGCCUGUUUUAUAAACACACACACACACACACACACACACACACACACCCCUGGCUUUAAAUUCCUCAUCUUCUACAACCCAGUCUCAAAAGUUGCUUUUGCCUAAACUACUAUCACAAACGUCCACGAGUCAAGACCGGUUUGCCUGUGAUCUGACAGUCUGAAAACAAAAAGGAAACUGAUGCAUUGAAAUAGAGAAGAUCACAUGCCCAGGGCUGGUAUCACUCACAGUGUGCUGGACCAUCCUACAUCAACCAUUAAUCAAGAAAAUCCACUCUCACAGACCUGCUCGUGGCUAAUCUGAUAGUGGCAGUUCUUCAGUUGAUGUUCCCUCUUAUCAGCACUGAGCACUGAAUCCAGGCUCCAAAAAA